GUUGUGUUGGCUAGCUGUUGCUAAUAAUUAAGGAAACGUUAAGGGACGCAGAGGCGUACCAAAGCAACCGAAGCGGAAUGAACACCAGCAUCGAGGUUCGCCAACUUUUUUGCUUUGAUCGUUUCAUCUUAUUUUCAGCAGAGAGGUGAAAAAAAGUGCUCUUCUGCCACUAAUAAUACGGGCAUUCCUUCCUCUCUCUUCGCCCGCACCACCGUCACUCCCUCGCUCCUGCUCCUGCUCCGACGACGCCGUAAUCUCUCAUUUCUAAGAUCCGAAAAUCCUGACAAACUCCUCCGCCGCUCUUCCUCUCUCACCGACACACACCUCCACCUGACCUGAUCCUCCCCCCCACCUCCUACUGACGGUGACGACUUCAAAGGCUGGGCUUUUCUCGAAUCCACUCAGCAGAACAAGAAGAAAAGGUUGCCAAAAAUCGUAACUUCUGGGAUUGGUACCGAUGUUGCUGCUCUGUUAGCCGCCAUUGCAUACUUCUCUUUCUCUAGAAAUGGAUUUAAGUUCCGAUUUCGUGGUCCAAGUUCUAUUGAGACCACCAUAGUUGAUAAAACCGAAACUUUUGUGUUUGACGAAAAUGCUGCUACCGUGUCCAAGACAGCUUUGGAUGGUAUAUACGAUGAUACCGGCGCAACUCUCCCUAAAGCUCCCUUUUUUUCUCUAGGAAUCAGAAGCAUAGAAUUGUUCCAUCCAUAUCACUUUCUGGUUCGGUAAUUGCUGCAUUUCAUGACUUGUUUGUUGAAGAUCCAGAUUUUGAAUCCAUCCAAGGCCUUGCCGAGGCUGGCAUCAUACCCAGCAAGCUGUCAGGGAUGAAUUCCUGCUCUGAAAGUUCAGAUGAUGGAAGAUCUUGCUUUUCCCCCUAGAGGUUUAUUUCUCGGCAGGAUCUGAUCAACUGGAAAGCUCAAUUAGAGUAUGUGUUUUUGUCAGGAAUUACAGAACAUUCCAGAUGUCGAGGACAAAUUUAUGCUCAGAUGCAUCGCCUGAACUUUUUGGCAGGGGACAGGAGCAUUAUUAGAAUAUUUUUGGUAUCUACCCCUUCUCAUUUCCCUUCCCAAAUUUAUGCUCUUGUGAACUAUAACUAGAGAUGUUUUCAUUCUUGUUAACUUAUUGACAACAUAAAACUCAAGUGAUUAAAAGCAUUCUAUUGACUACCUUAUUCAAGACACCCCCCUCCACACAUAUUAUCUAUUUAUUAUUCAUGAAAGACACAUAUAAGCAAAUUCUAAUCUUAAUAUAUUCAAUCAGUUGGGUUCCUCUCUCUCUCUCUCUCUCACUCUGGUGUUUUUUUUUUGUUUCCUGCUUGAGAAAGAGCAAUCUGCAUUAGUAAAGCUUCUGCUGAUAUCUUAUUUCUGUGAGUGCCACUUAUUUUUUUAGCUUUCACUUUUUUUAGAAAAAACAAGAAAUGCCAAUUAGGCCAAAAGGGGCCUUAGGGUUGCAUUGUGAGUUUUAGAAUGCUGCCACCAUGCAGAAAAUGAAAUAUUGGGCUUGUGCCAAUCUUGUGGGUUGGGAGUCCAGCAAUUUCAAAGGAAAUGAACGGGAUUGGGAGUCGAGCAAUUUCAAAGGAAAUGUUCUUGUCAUAGAAUUGCAUAUGAAGAUUAUGAUUCCAUGGUUAAAUUUGCACAGGACAGAACAGGCGGUUUUAGCCAAAUAAACCUCUAACAAAGGCAUAGGCGGCAGUUGCUCUGACAAGUGGCAGGAUGUCUGAUAUAGUUUACAAUGAAAUAUUGAGGCUGGAAGCUGAGAAGUUAUUAAGGGAAGCUUCAAUGGAAGAAAUUAGGAAUGAAUUUCUUGAGAGAGAAGAUAUAAAAAGGUCUUGGAAUGAGAAGAUGAAUGAAGAAAAAAUUUGAGGUUUUGAGGUUGAGAAGCUUUAUAUUGCCAUUUUAAAUGAUUUGGAAGAGGAGAAAAUUGUACAGGUGAAAACUUAUGAGGAGUAUUUGAAGGACAAGGCAGCUAUGGAUUGUCAGAGGCAACUACUGCUCCGUCUCAAGGGAAAGGUUGGUGGGGGUGUCAGAAAGGCUUGCAUCUGAGAGGUCUGUGUAUGUGGCCGAGCAGUGUAAUCUGCAGGAAUUCCUCAGUGAAUUACAAUUGAAGCAGGGAAGGAUGCUUGAUGCAAAAUCUAUACUGGAAAGCUGAAAUUGAAGCUCUUUGAAUCCUCAGGUCUUGGGUGGAAGAUGAGGUAAGGAAAAGCCAAGGCCGAGCUAGGAGGUUGGACGAAGGUGGAAAUGGGACAAUCAGGCCUGAUUAUAACAGAGCAGAACUAUCCAAUAACUACUGCCUCUUUUCCCCAUGGAUGGCUAUAAAAGAUACCGUGGAUGUGAAAUUGGAUUGGUGAACUGUGAUGUGGGGAUUUGGUUUUGUGUCCUUAUUUGUAAUAUGGUCAUCAUUUAUGCUGUUACUUCUGGAUUAAUUAAUCAAGCAAUUAGUGAUUAUAUGAAUACCGGGGGAUGUUUCAGGAGCAUUUCUUCCUCUAAUCUGUUUCUAUUUAGUGGCAAGCCCCCAAUAGUUUGUUUUACCCAAGAGCCUAUGCUACUUAGAGCUGUAGUCAUAAAUGCCUUGGGCUGGGACAGGAUCUGUUUCUAAUUUUUCCGUUCAUUGAUUGUUCUUGAUGAAUGAAUGUAUUCUUGAUUUGAUGUUUGGAAUACCAAUCGAA